GCGUGGACAGUGCGAAGACUAGAAGCCGGAUGUAAAGUGUGUGUCCAGGUGGACAAGGACGGGCUCAAGCAGAUCCAGGCGACCAAAGGAGGGUGGUCAGCAGGCAUGUCACAGUGCAUUGGGAAAAUCGGCAUUAUCAAAGAUAUUCCCAGUCAGGGCAUGGCUAGUGUUGAGUUCGGGAGCAGCAAGUACCGGAUAGCUACAGAGGCACUCAUAAAGGUGCACGACCACACGCUGAACACCGUGGUGCGGGUACUGGGGAC